AGAUGUUCCAGAGACCAGAAAAUGCCAGAGGGGUGUUUGUAAUGAAGCUGCCAAGACUCCAGGUCUUCUUGGUUGUGCCCCCUAAGGAGAAAAAGAUGCACGAGGAGCAACCAGCCCGUGGACCUGAAGGUCAAGGUGCCUGGAGAAGAGAAAAGAAGGGGAUAGGAGCCAGACCCCCGGCCAGGUCCGGAUGGCAUCUCCAGCAGGACAGCCCAGGAGUUCGGCACGGAAGCUAGCAGGAUGCGUGUUACCUGAGACCCCCAUGUGUGUGCAGGCCACAGCGAAGGAGAGAGAAUCGGGCGAGAUGGAAGCUGGAGAUUUCGAUUUUCUGGAGUCUAGGACAUGGGCCAAAGUGCAUUCUCCUCUAAGGGAGGCUCUCUUCAGUGUGACAGGAUGGACAGAAGGCAAGAUUGCCCUUUAAGUCAGGAACCCCCAAAUACAAUGAGUUGUUUGUUCACUUAUAUAAUUUGGUAGAUCUCAUACCUAUUCCUCAAUGUUUAUGGGGCAGGACUCCGGAACUGCGGCUGUUCGGUAGGAAAGACCAAAAGCAAACGGUGAACGAGAGAGAAGACACACAUGCAUGCACAAAAUAAAAUCCACGCCACCGCCGCCGCCAACCAGCACGCCACGAAACACCGGACCGACAGGCCGCCCUCACUCUGAAUUCACACGAGUGCCUGCUACAGACUCCACCGCUCUAGAACCCUGAGCCAGGGCCUGGAACCGAUCCCGCCGGAAUAGACUCAGCACUCAGACCUGAAGGAUCUGUUCUCGCCGGCUUCUUAAUUCACUCUGUGGCGAGGGGAGGGUUAGCAGCAAUCACGUGGUGCCCUUCCUGCUUCCCCCCUCCCCUCCGAAAGGACUCCAAGGGGCCCUCAGCAGAACCCUGCUGCUGCUCCCGGGUCACAUGUGCAAAGGGGGAGCCUGGCUGCAGAGGGCAACCGGCUCGCAGACGGGGCUUCCCGAACACAUGCUCCCACUGGGUCCGGCCCUUCAGCCAGAAACUGGAGCUUGUUGACUGAAAAUCUGUCGUGGCGACAGAUCAAGGCGCCUUUCCAUUUAGAGGAUGGGAAACAGGAGGGCAGAGAGACCUCUAGAGGUAGAUUUGGGGAGCACAUUUAGGGGAAUUCUGCACACCCCUUUCCCAGCUCUACCAAGCCCCUGAUUAAAUAAAUGUAGGCGCUCUGACA